rnacentral:rRNA from 1 species
UGGGGUAUAUUGGACAAUGGGCGAAAGCCUGAUCCAGCCAUGCCGCGUGUGUGAAGAAGGUCUUCGGAUUGUAAAGCACUUUAAGCUGGGAGGAAGGGCAGUAAGCGAAUACCUUGCUGCUUUGACGUUACCGACAGAAUAAGCACCGGCUAACUCUGUGCCAGCAGCCGCGGUAACACAGAGGGUGCAAGCGUUAAUCGGAAUUACUGGGCGUAAAGCGCGCGUAGGUGGUUCGUUAAGUUGAAUGUGAAAGCCCCGGGCUCAACCUGGGAACUGCAUCCAAAACUGGCGCGCUAGAGUAGGGCAGAGGGUGGUGGAAUUUCCUGUGUAGCGGUGAAAUGCGUAGAUAUAGUAAGGAACACCAGUGGCGAAGGCGACCACCUGAGCUCAUACUGACACUGAGGUGCGAAAGCGUAGGGAGCAAACAGG